rnacentral:rRNA from 2 species
AGUACAUACCGAAACAAAGUGAAACCGCGAAUGGCUCAUUAAAUCAGUUAUGGUUCCUUAGAUUGAUAAAAAAUCCUACUUGGAUAACUGUGGUAAUUCUAGAGCUAAUACAUGCAACCGAGUUCUGACCCCUCGCGGGGAAUGAGCGCUUUUAUUAGACCAAGACCAAUACGGAUUUCUGAUUCGCCGGCCAAAAAGCUUCGUUGAUUUUUCUAUCCUUCCUUUCCUCCUUCACGGGGGGUUUGGCUCUCGGGUUUUAAAAUUUUCGAGCUUCGGUGCUUUCGGUUCCGUUCAAACCCAAUUGGUGACUCUGGAUAACUUAUCAUAGCGGAUCGCACGGCCCCAGCGCCGGCGACCGAAUCUUUCAAAUGUCUGCCUUAUCAACUGUCGAUGGUAGGUAACGCGCCAACCAUGGUUGUAACGGGUAACGGGGAAUCAGGGUUCGAUUCCGGAGAGGGAGCCUGAGAAACGGCUACCACAUCCAAGGAAGGCAGCAGGCACGCAAAUUACCCACUCUCAGCACGAGGAGGUAGUGACGAAAAAUAACAAUACGGGACUCUUCCGAGGCCCCGUAAUUGGAAUGAGUACACUUUAAAUCCUUUAACGAGGAUCCAUUGGAGGGCAAGUCUGGUGCCAGCAGCCGCGGUAAUUCCAGCUCCAAUAGCGUAUAUUAAAGCUGUUGCGGUUAAAAAGCUCGUAGUUGGAUCUAGGCCCCGGGCCGGCGGUCCGCCUCCCUUCGUUUGGGGGCGGUCUCACUGCUGGAUUCGGGGCCAGAACACAAGCCGGCCUCAACCCGCGGUGGUCUUUACCGGCUGUCGUGCGGUGACCGGAAACUUUACUUUGAACAAAUUAAAGUGCUCCAAGCAGGCGUUAAAAAACAAAAACUUGCGCCCGAAUAAGCCUAGCAUGGAAUAAUGAAACAGGACCUCGGUUCUGUUGUGUUGGUUUUUUUAUCACGUCGCGCAUCCUCUUGCUCGUUUUUUGGGAACUUCUUCCCCCCUUGCCUCCGGCCGUCAUUUUAUUUGGGGUUUCUGGGUCUGCCUCCUUUAUUGGUGCGCUUUCCCUGUUUUCCCCUUUAAUUUCUCGGUGCGGGGGAUUUUAGUGGCGGGUUGUCGUUUUCUUCUUAAAUCGGGUGUUUGGUCGCGGCGGAUAAGUCGGAACCCGAGGUAAUGAUUAAUAGGGACUGACGGGGGCAUUCGUAUUGCGGCGCUAGAGGUGAAAUUCUUGGACCGUCGCAAGACGAACUACAGCGAAAGCAUUUGCCAAGAAUGUUUUCAUUAAUCAAGAACGAAAGUUAGAGGUUCGAAGGCGAUCAGAUACCGCCCUAGUUCUAACCAUAAACGAUGCCAACCAGCGAUUCGCCUGAGUUCCUCCGAUGACUUGGCGAGCAGCUUUCCCCGGGAAACCACAAGUGCUUGGGUUCCGGGGGAAGUAUGGUUGCAAAGCUGAAACUUAAAGGAAUUGACGGAAGGGCACCACCAGGAGUGGAGCCUGCGGCUUAAUUUGACUCAACACGGGAAAACUCACCCGGCCCGGACACUGGAAGGAUUGACAGAUUGAGAGCUCUUUCUUGAUUCGGUGGGUGGUGGUGCAUGGCCGUUCUUAGUUGGUGGAGCGAUUUGUCUGGUUAAUUCCGAUAACGAACGAGACUCUGGCCUGUUAAAUAGACGGCCGAUCCCGGGGUGCCGGUUUACCUCGCUUCUCGUCCUCGCCCGUUUGAGGCUCCUUAAUUGUCCCGAUUCCUCGUCAUUAUUUCUAAUCGGUCUCUCGGCUUUUUUUUCUCUCCUCUUUCGGGGGGGGGGUUGAUUUAGUUCGGGUUGUUCGGUUUCUAAUAUUUGGCGUUGGGUUUGGCAUGCGGGGGUCUUUCUCGAGUGGGGUCUAAAACGGGGGCUUGGUUAUUACGGCCGGCGUUGCCUCUGUCGGUCGAUUAACUCUUCUUAAAGGGACAAGCGGCGCCCAGCCGCACGAAAUUGAGCAAUAACAGGUCUGUGAUGCCCUUAGAUGUCCGGGGCCGCACGCGCGCUACAAUGAAGGCAUCAGCGAGUGUAACGUCCCGGCCCGGAAGGAUCGGGUAACCCGUUGAACCGCAUUCGUGAUAGGGAUCGGGGCUUGAAAUUGUCCCCCGCGAACGAGGAAUUCCCAGUAAGCGCGAGUCAUAAACUCGCGUUGAUUACGUCCCUGCCCUUUGUACACACCGCCCGUCGCUACUACCGAUUGAAUGAUUUAGUGAGGUCUUCGGACUGGCAGUCUCUGCAACGGGCCCUUUGCGGGGUCUCGCGGGGUCUCGCCGGGAAGAUGACCGAAC